GCUCAUACUGGCCAUUGGGCAGAUCACGUCUGUGUGGGAUGCCCCAACUAGAAAGAACCAAAAUUUGGGAAGGGUUUCCUUCCCAAACCAUAUAAAAAGAAAUUCCAAUCUGAUGAACACAAAUGAUAUAGAACCCCUUGUGGAAGAACACCUUGAGCACAACCAAAAAANAGUUAUGCACCUAAAAUAUUCCAAACAAAGAUGGAUAAUAUUUUAAAACAUUAUUCUAAACUCCCGAGAGAGAAAGAUGUUCCAUUCAUUUGGAAUGAAGAAUAUCGUGAGAGAAUGAAAAGUUAAAAGAAAUUUGCAAAAAUCUUCCUAAACUCUCGAUACCACAUGAUAAGGACGAUUUAGUUCUAUAUAUACAUAUGCGAGUGAUUUCUGGUGGGUAGCAGUUCUCACUAAAAUCACUCUCUAUGGAGAAGAGCCAUGUAGAUAUUGUAGUGGGCUCUUUUCUGACAAUGAAGUUGUGCGGUUGCACAUUAAUGAAAAUGAAUUCUAUGAAGUUAGGAAGACGUUUAAAAAAUGACCAUUAUUCCUACUUACUAAGAAAUUCAUUUUGAAAGUUGAUAACACGAAUGUUAGAGUUUUCAUAACCAAAAAAAUUGAAUCUAGGCCUGAAAAUGCUAGAUUACUUAGGUGGCAAGCUGAAUGUCAAUAUUAUAGAUUUGAUAUUAUCGUUCUAUAAUAUGAUGAUAAUGUUCUUAUAGAUUUCAUAACAAGGGAUGAAGCCAACCGAAGUUGAAUCCAUCAUAAUAGAGCGAAGGCAACUAUGUGAAAACAUGUAGAUGUUACAACAAGAGUGAUAAGAGUGUGUACUCCAUACCAAGCAAGCAGGAAGGGUACAAUUUGUUGAUGAAACAAAGGUGUCCAAGCGUAUACAAGUAUGCAUGAUGGAGAUGAUAAAUCUUCAUGAUGCAACCCAAUGGCCGCGCCUUCACGCUAUCAGAGAUCCUCUUAUAAAAGAAGGCAUUUUCGUAAAGGGUGGAUUAUUUGUAGUAGGGGAUUCAAGUAGCCUUAUCACAAGUCCUAAAAAUAUGGUCAUCGAACCGAAAGCUCAAGGAAAUGAUGAUGUUAAGGGGUCACAUCCAAAACCAUCAUGUUAACCUAGCACCUUCGAGUAAAAUAGGAAGAGAUUAAUUUUAGGCUUAAUAAUAAUGGGCAAAUCUAAGAUUGAUACUAAUGUUAUUGAAGUAUCUCUUAUUUGGCAGGUAUAUCAAAUAAGAUGGGAGAAGCUCAUCUCAAAUAGGGGCAUUAAUUCAUAAUAUUGUUGGGUUGAUAUCGUUGGAAAAUUCGAGUGUGGAUUACCACAUGCACUAAUCCAUAAGAAGUUAAGGAUUGAUAUGAAUUUGGGGCACUUGCCUCAGUUUAUACUAUGACAUCAAUGUUCAACGAGAUCAAGGGUCUACCCAAAUGGAUCUAGAAAAUGGUCGAUGACGUGUGGUCAAUGAACCAGUCCUUCAAAAGAGAUAAUGUUUUCGAGUUAUAUUUCUUCAGUGUAGCUCCUGAACCAACAGAAAAAGGGAAUUGCGAAGCCUUUCACUUCACCAAGCUUUGGAGACCCGAAAAUCAAGCUUUGAACCGGAUCAAAGCACUAGAGAGUCGGUCCUUUAUCAUCGCCACUUUCACGGAGGAUCAAAUCUCCACAAGGCGAGCAUGAAGAUUGUGGGUUUGCCUCACAGAGAUUGACAAAGUCAAGUCCAAGUUUGAAUUCUUCCAGAACUGGAACCCGUGUUUGUUCCAUUUGAACACUAUGACAUAAACCACGACAAAGUUCACGGAAAAUUUUUUAAAGGACAAUAGGUGACUAUUAUGGCAUAACAAGAUCGCGGUGAGUAGAGAAACUCGCCGCAAAUUCUGUAAUAUCGCUCAUACUGGCCAUUGGGCGGAUCACGUCUGUGUGGGAUGCCCCAACCAAAAAGAACCAAAAUUUGGGAAGGAAAUCCUUCCCAAACCUGAUAAAAAGAAAUUCCAGUCUGAUGAACACAAAUGACAUAGAACCCCUCGUGGAAGAACACCUCGAGCACAACCAAAAAAGUAAAGGGCCCGAUAAACAAUAAAGAGACAUGUGACUCACAGCAAGAGAAUAACCUAAAAAAAAUCGAUGAGUGGGUAAACUAUAGGAAGAUACCACUAAAAGAAGACGACAAAGUGGGUAUAACUAUAAGAGGACCACUAUUAAUAAUGGUCUAUUACACCAACCACUGACCCCUACCACAACAUUAGCAGCUGAAUAGUGGAGUGAGGGACCCGAAGACAUGUGAAGGCACCAAGGUUGACAAUUUGCAGAAAU
rnacentral:lncRNA from 1 species